rnacentral:tRNA from 1 species
UCCCUGGUGUUCCAGUGGUUAGGACUUGGCGCUUUCACUGCUGUGGCCCAGGUUCGAUCCCCGGUUGGGGAA